ensembl:lincRNA
AAUUCCAGAAGGUCGGGGACUUGCACAUUAAAAAUAUUUGUAUCCUUUUGUUUUUGCUCUUUGAUCCUUAGGAUUCAGUGCACGAGAAGACCAGUGCUUGCUCCAGAAAGGAUGAACUGAAGAACCUACGAGAGCAAAGGCACUUCCUUGAGACGUAUCCCCAGGCAAGCCGUGGCCAAGAGGCUGCCCGCGAGGCUUCGGUCGAAUACCUGCAAGAGAUCGCCACCGUCCGCCUCUGCCUCGACAGGGCUUCCGACUUCCUCGCGGAGCUGCAGGGAGGCUCGGGCAAGUCUUCCUACUUUGAGCUUAAAGACCCGUUAUUUAGAAGUUGCGGAAGAAUGGGAAACUAGUUCUUAGGAUAAUGCUGGUCCUUACUACCUCCUCUCUCUCCUGGGUGCGUUUUACUGUGACUUCCUAAAGAGGCGGCCCCAUGCCCCUAGACUAGCUUCGUGUCCUGUGAUAAAUAUCCCGAGUCAGUGGGUCACGCGUUGCUCACCCCCCUUCUCCCCGGACCCGCAGAGACAGCGAAGGAGAAGCGAAGCUACCUGCGACAAGUUGAGUGCUUCUGUACCCGCGUGGAGAACGACUGGUACCGGGUGUACCUGGUGAGGAAGCUGGCCAGCCAGUGGGGCAUGGAGUUCGUGCAGGGCCUCUCCAAGCCGGGCCACCCGUGCCAGUGGGUCUUUCCCAAGGGUGUCAUCGAGCAGCAGAAGGACCACCCGGGCCAGAUAGACCGAUACCUGGUGUACGGUGAUGAGUACAAGGCUCUUCGUGAUGCCACAGCCAAAGCUGUCCUCAAGUGCGAGUCCCUGAGUAUUGUGACUGCCCUGAAGGCCUGCAGGGAACCCAAAGCCCAACAGGCAGUCCACUUACUGUUGGCACUUUUCAAAGAGGUGGCUGUUUUAUACAGAUCCAGUAACACGAACCUCCAUCCUAAGCGGGAGCAACGCGAGGCUGUGAACAAGUUCAUCGAAGAGUGCGAGGUCUUCUCUCCCGCUGUCAGAUGUUUUGCGACAUCCCUUGUGGAGAACACUCUGCCGUUGCUGAGGACGAGCCCCGGUGACAACGGCCUUGAAGGAACAGUGACAGAAAUGGCCAUUCACGCUGCAGCCAUCCUCCUGUGUGGACAAAACCGAGUCUUGGAGCCGCUAAAGAACUUGGCUUUCUCCCCAGCCACCAUGGUGAAUGCCUUUCUUCCGACAAUGCCUGAGGACUUGCUGGCUCAAGCUAGGACCUGGAAGGGUCUGGAAGGAGUCCGUUGGUACACUUGUCCCAACGGCCAUCCCUGCUCUGUGGGAGAGGUGAGUCUUGGUAUUUAACAUGGGGUUUGGGGGGCAACAGGUGCAUUGCUCUGGGUCUCAGGAGAGAGGCGGCAGACAGAGGAGGGGAGAGCGUGAGUCGUGGCUGUCUAGAGCACAGGGUCACUUUGGAGCAUUCAGGGUGUCCCCAUGGAGUGUCUGAGCUGACCAACCAGGGCUUCUAACCUCAGCACUGUGGACGUGCUUCUCUCCCGUGGGCCUGUCCUGUGCGUUGUGGGGUGUCCAGCAGCGUCCCUGACCUUAGCUCACUGGAUGCCAGGAGCACUUCCUCUCCUCUCUCGCGGGGUGACAGCUGGAAACGUCUCUGGGUAUUGCCCCUCCCCUGGGAGACACAACUGCUACUGAUGGGAACUGCCGCUGCCAAUCCUUCUUUAGCCACUGCAGUGUAGGACCAGGGACACUUGUCCCUCCAGAAUGGCAAAGUGUCGCCUGGCCCCUAGGCUGGAUUCCUAGCCCAGAGAUAGGUAUGGUGUGGAUACCAAGGGAUAAGAAGAAGGGAGUUGGGAUUGCGAGUCACAGGGACAGAACUGUACAGUAUCCAUCUCUGCAUUCCAGCACCUAGCCCAGGCCCUGCUCACAGUG